rnacentral:rRNA from 1 species
CAAUACAUCAGUGGCGGACGGGUGAGUAAUGAAUCGCUAACGUACCCCAGAGCUCGGGAUAGCUGUCCGAAAGGACAGGUAAUACCGGGAGACAUCGCCUGGAGGCAUCUUCGGGCGCUCAAAGGAGCAAUCCGCUUUGGGAGCGGGCGAUUUCGUAUCAGCUAGUUGGCGGGGUAAUGGCCCACCAAGGCGACGACGCGUAGCCGGACUGAGAGGUUGGCCGGCCACAUUGGGACUGAGACACUGCCCAGACUCCUACGGGGGGCUGCAGUAACGAAUCUUCCGCAAUGCACGAAAGUGUGACGGAGCGACGCCGCGUGGAGGACGAAGCCCUUCGGGGUGUAAACUCCUGUCAGGGGUUACCAAGUUCUGAGGAGCCCCAGAGGAAGGCACGGCUAACUCUGUGCCAGCAGCCGCGGUAAGACAGAGGUGCCGAGCGUUAGGCGGAAUCACUGGGCUUAAAGCGUGUGUAGGCGGGUCGUUAAGUACCUUGUGAAAUCCCCCGGCUUAACCGGGGAACUGCUGGGUAUACUGGCGACCUUGAGCAAUCCAGGGGCGAGCGGAACAAGCGGUGGAGCGGUGAAAUGCGUAGAUAUCGCUUGGAACGCCGACGGUGAAAACAGCUCGCUGGGGAUUCGCUGACGCUGAGACACGAAAGCCAGGGGAGCAAACGGGAUUAGAUACCCCGGUAGUCCUGGCCCUAAACGAUGUCCACUAGAUCAUGGGACCUUUGACGGGUCUCAUGGUCGAAGCAAAAGUGCUAAGUGGACCGCCUGGGAAGUACGGUCGCAAGGCUAAAACUC